rnacentral:rRNA from 1 species
GACGGGGACCCGCACAAGCGGUGGAGCAUGUGGUUUAAUUCGAUGCAACGCGAAAAACCUUACCACUCCUUGACAUGAAGAUUAGAUCCUCCUUAACAGGAGGGCGCAGUUAGGCUGGGUCUUGCACAGGUGCUGCAUGGCUGUCGUCAGCUCGUGUCGUGAGAUGUUGGGUUAAGUCCCGCAACGAGCGUAACCCUCACCCUUAGUUGCCAGCGGGUAAUGCCGGGGACUUUAAGGGAACUGCCAGUGGUAAGCUGGAGGAAGGUGGGGAUGAUGUCAAGUCAGCAUGGCCCUUAUGGGGUGGGCUACACACGUGCUACAAUGGUGACUACA